rnacentral:rRNA from 1 species
UAACUCCGGGAAACCGGGGCUAAUACCGGAUGCUUGAUUGAACCGCAUGGUUCAAUUAUAAAAGGUGGCUUUUAGCUACCACUUACAGAUGGACCCGCGGCGCAUUAGCUAGUUGGUGAGGUAACGGCUCACCAAGGCGACGAUGCGUAGCCGACCUGAGAGGGUGAUCGGCCACACUGGGACUGAGACACGGCCCAGACUCCUACGGGAGGCAGCAGUAGGGAAUCUUCCGCAAUGGACGAAAGUCUGACGGAGCAACGCCGCGUGAGUGAUGAAGGUUUUCGGAUCGUAAAACUCUGUUGUUAGGGAAGAACAAGUACCGUUCGAAUAGGGCGGUUCCUUGACGGUACCUAACCAGAAAGCCACGGCUAACUACGUGCCAGCAGCCGCGGUAAUACGUAGGUGGCAAGCGUUGUCCGGAAUUAUUGGGCGUAAAGCGCGCGCAGGCGGUUUCUUAAGUCUGAUGUGAAAGCCCCCGGCUCAACCGGGGAGGGUCAUUGGAAACUGGGGAACUUGAGUGCAGAAGAGGAGAGUGGAAUUCCACGUGUAGCGGUGAAAUGCGUAGAGAUGUGGAGGAACACCAGUGGCGAAGGCGACUCUCUGGUCUGUAACUGACGCUGAGGCGCGAAAGCGUGGGGAGCGAACAGGAUUAGAU